AUAGCUUGCAUUUAAAAACAAAAUACUUUUUUCCCUGUUAUAGAUUGAAUAGCAGUUAGUUAUCUUCAAGCGGGUGUGUCAGCCCUACAGCGUGUACUCUGCCAGUUUACAGUGCCACUCAUAUCUGGUGUCAUAAUAGCUUGCAUUUAAAAACAAAAUACUUUUUUCACUGUUAUAGAUUGAAUAGCAGUUAGUUGUCUGCCA